AUGGGUUGUAAACUGCUUUUCUGCGGGACUAACUUCCUUCACGAGCUGAGGGUUUGCAUGUACUGCAGGAAUAAGCAUCGGCUAACUCCGUGCCAGCAGCCGCGGUAAUACGGAGGAUGCGAGCGUUAUCCGGAAUUAUUGGGUUUAAAGGGUGCGUAGGCUGACAAGUAAGUCAGUGGUGAAAUAUCCGGGCUCAACCGGGAGGCUGCCAUUGAUACUGUUUGUCUGGAGUGUAUUGGAAGUGAGCGGAACGAGGGGUGUAGCGGUGAAAUGCAUAGAUAUUCCUCAGAACGCCGAUCGCGCAGGCAGCUCACUACGAUAUAACUGACGCUGAGGCACGAAAGCGUGGGGAUCAAACAGGAUUAGAUACCCUGGUAGUCCACGCUGUAAACGAUGAUCACUAGCUGUUUGCGAUAUAUUGUAAGUGGCUAAGCGAAAGCGAUAAGUGAUCCACCUGGGGAGUACGUCGGCAACGAUGAAACUCAAAGG
rnacentral:rRNA from 1 species